CUCCGGUGUUUUGUGGUGUUUUGCCACACCUGUCGGUGNAUGAUCCCUCCCGGUAGGUGAACCUGCGGAGGGAUCAUUACCGAGUUUACAACUCCCAAACCCCCUGUGAACAUACCAAUUGUUGCCUCGGCGGAUCAGCCCGCUCCCGGUAAAACGGGACGGCCCGCCAGAGGACCCCUAAACUCUGUUUCUAUAUGUAACUUCUGAGUAAAACCAUAAAUAAAUCAAAACUUUCAACAACGGAUCUCUUGGUUCUGGCAUCGAUGAAGAACGCAGCAAAAUGCGAUAAGUAAUGUGAAUUGCAGAAUUCAGUGAAUCAUCGAAUCUUUGAACGCACAUUGCGCCCGCCAGUAUUCUGGCGGGCAUGCCUGUUCGAGCGUCAUUUCAACCCUCAAGCCCAGCUUGGUGUUGGGACUCGCGAGUUAAACCGCGUUCCCCAAAUUGAUUGGCGGUCACGUCGAGCUUCCAUAGCGUAGUAGUAAAACCCUCGUUACUGGUAAUCGUCGCGGCCACGCCGUUAAACCCCAACUUCUGAAUGUUGACCUCGAGCACGUCAG
rnacentral:rRNA from 1 species